AGGUGGCUAUCUGCUCUACCACAGACCUCCAUGUGCUGCGGUGGUGUCUUGCCAUGGUCUGCACCAUGGGCUGCAGAGGAACCUCUGCUCUGGCACCUGGAGCACCUCCUGCCCUCCUCCUGCACUGACCCUGGUGCCUGCAGAGCUGUUUCUCUCACAUAUUCUCACUCCUGUCUCUGGCUGAAGUUUUUGUUCCCCACCCCUUUCCCUAAACACAUUGUCCCAGAGGAGCUACCACCAUCACUGUUGGCCUCUGCCUCGUCCAGUGCCAGGUCCAUCGUGGAGCUGCUGGCAUUGGCUCUGUUGGACAUCAGGGGAGCUUCUGGCAUCUUCCCACAGAAGCCUUCCUGCUACUAAAACCUGGCCAUGCCAACCCAAUACAGCAGGUAUCAUCCUGCGAUAUCUGCAUUACAAUAAAAGGUCUUGGCCUAAAAAUGGGUUGACACUUGGAAAGAUACACCUCAGGACAGGACUGUUCCCUCACCCUGCUAUGGAAUCCCCUCACUCAUCUUCAGGAUGUGUGAGUGCAAGACACAACAAAGUUUCACGGCAUCAAAUGAUGCAAUACAAUAAAAAUUGUUAUGGGGAGCAGAGAUAAUGUGCUACAAGCACAUUGAUUUUUCUCCUUCUGUAACUUACUCAGACAACAUAGGUCCUUGCAAGCUCUUUUGUCUAGUGCUGCUGUGGGACUCCCAUGGUCUGCUUUUGCUCCCAAGCUGCAAUUUUGGCAAGCUCAGGCUCCUAAGUGAUCAACAAUCAGCCUGGCCAACCAAACCAUCUUCACCUGCUGCUGAUAAUUGCUCUGAGAAGAGGGUGUUUGUCAAGCUAGUCACUUUAUCUUUUUCUGUAUGCUUUUAAGGGCAAGGCCUUACUGCAGUGGGACAGCAGCGGGUGAGUUUCAUCUGCUAGCAGGCAGUAGGCAUCUCUACCCAUGCUGCUAAUUAUCUUGCAUGAAAUGAGUCCAUUCAGUGUAAGUAGCUGAAGCACAGAGGGUGGCUCAGUGUCAAAUAAAUGAUGGUUUGGUAUGGCAGCUGCCAAGAGCAUCAGCCUGAUUUGCAGAUUCACAGAUCUGUGAAUGCAACUUAUCUUCCUGUGAGUGGACAGGGACAGGAAAGAGAAGAGGAUGGCUGAAAGAGGAAGAAACUUGGGAGAUGGUUCAGCUGGAACCUGGCCCCUUCAAGUGACAGUGAUUAACGUUGCAUGCUUUGCCAUUAAGGAGGCUGAACAUGUGAAUCAACGUACGUGAGAGCUUUUUCCAAGACAAAAUUGUCUCUGGAGCAGUGUCAGCACCAGCAAGAGGAAGAGCUAGGACCAGCUGCUUUGACAUGAGUCUUUCUGCCUGCCAUGUGCCUCUUGACCUCCACACUUGUGUCCUUCCUAUAGCCAGUACACUCUAGCUUUACCUAUCAGCCACUUAAGCCUCAGCCUUGCAAAAGUUUUAGCAUAAGCUCAUUGUAGUGCAGCUAUUUACCCCUCCAGGACUCUGGAGAGAAGACCCGCAAAGGAUGGCAUUACAGAGGAACAGCAUUAAAUGCCUGUGAAUGAUGAACUUUUUAUUAAGCACACAUAGUCUAAGUUCAGAGGCUGAGCAAGCCAGGCUGAGAAAAAAAGAGCCAGAAAGGUAGGAUCAUCUUCCACAGGCAAAGUGUGGCUGUGCAUCCAGAGAGCUUUGUUUCCAUUUCGGAUGAGAUCAGGACACAAAGUGUCCAUUAGCAGCCCACAACUAGGUAAAAAUACUUUUAUUAAUAACAGGUGCUAUAUUUUUGCAUAUAAACCUUACAAUUUGACCAUGAGAAAGAGUGCUAUGAUGACAUAAUAACACAGAUUAUCAACACAUAGAGGUAUGGAGAAAAGUUUCUCUCUGGCACAUCUAUCUCCUUUCACCUCACCAAAAGCUCAUCUUCUUCUGUGGUAUUAGAUAGUAGCAAUGAACAGACAACUCCUUUCUAGACAGUGGCUCUCUCAAAUCAGUUGCAUAUUCUCAAAGUUACAGGAUACUUGCAGAAAAAUACAGCAUUUGCAAAGCAUUCUUCAGUUGAUAAGCAGUUUAACAGUAGAGUACCCUCUCUGGGAAGAUGCAGCAAAGAAAGCACCUUAAGAAAUUGAAAGGUACACCUGGAUCCACUUAAAUAAAAGGAUCUUGCUAGGGAAGCCUAAUUGGCCUGCCCUAGUUAGCCCACCUGUGAACAGUUUUGUAGCUACAAGAACAGGAGUGAGGCACUCAUGAGGUUUUCUACUUUGUUCUGGAAGUUGAAGUUAGAGAAAACUUGGAAACCUGGGAUAGCAGCUGUGACCUAGAUACUGUGUCUGAAGAGACCUCUGUGGCCAUAGUCCUUGCUAGUGGAGGCAGCAGCUCUGGCAGGUGAGCAGGCAGAACGAGCUGCAGCAGUCAAACCUGCGCAGAGACUCUCCCAUCAGGCUCCCACAUACAUCAAUGUCUUGUGCCUGUGAGGAACUGUUGGACAAAACAAAAAUCAAGCUGAAAAAAAAUCCCCUCACACACAGAGCGGUGACAGAUCUGGAUUGUCUGGAGAUGAUGGAAUAAUUUACACGCUCUGGUUUAAUGUUCCUGUUUCUUUUUUUUUUUCCUCCAGCUGCCACCUCCCCACCUUCUGUCACUGUCGUCUAAAUGAAUUUACAAGAAAAAGAAAAUAGUUCUCACUAAUGUUCUCACACAAAUGAAACAUUAGGCAGAGAGACAAAAAGAAAAUAACCGAUUGUGAAAGCAAAACCCCUCUGAGACAGUCUGAGCAUUAUCAGGAGCAGCCUGGGAGAGGAACUGGGGGGAGAG